CAACACAUCACGGGGAGCUCGCGCGUUCAGCGGGCUGAGAGGGUUACUGCGGUAACCGACCCGAAAACCUGAUCUGGGUAAUGCCAGCGGAGGAAUCGACACAUGGCUAGUGG
rnacentral:ncRNA from 1 species